CCGAGUUUACAAACUCCCAAACCCUUUGUGAACCUUACCGUAUCGUUGCUUCGGCGGGACCGCCCCGGCGCCCUCGGGCCCGGAACCAGGCGCCCGCCGGAGGCCCCAAACCCUCAUGUCUUUAGUGGUUUCCUCCUCUGAGUGACACAUAAACAAAUAAAUAA
rnacentral:misc_RNA from 1 species